rnacentral:sRNA from 1 species
UUUAUUUUUAUUUUUAUUUUUUUUUUCCUUUGUUCUUUUAUAUUACAACUCGUUAGGCGUUGUAAAUUUGUAACUUUAAUGUAACACAUGUAUAGAUCAAAAUUUUUAAGGAAAGAAAAAAAAAAAUACAAAAUAUAAAAUAAUGCACAUACAUGUAAUAUAUAUAUAUAUAGAGUCAAUUAUAAAAAAAGGAUAAUUAAUAAGCAUAUAUUUACAUAUAUAUAUAUAUAUAUAUAUAUAUAUAUAUAUAUAUGUGAAUAUGUAAUAUUAUUUGUAUGUACAGAUAAAAAGCCUUAUAUUAAAAAAAAUGUGUAUUUACGCAUAUAUAUAUAUAUAUAUAUUUGUAUAUUUAUGUACUUAUUUAUUUUGUAUCAAAUGAAUUAUAUCUUAAUCUAUAUAAACUUAUAUUUAAUUAUUUGUUCUUAAUAAUAAGUAAAAUAUAAAUAGGUUUCUUUACAAGAAUUUUAUAACAUGGCUUAUUAAUAAUUUAUGUAUAAUAAUUAAUCACAUAUAUUUAAAUAUAUAAUAAGUAUAUGGAUGAAAUCUUCUUUUUUCAUUAAAUAUAAUAAAAAAUAUAUAUAUAUAUAUAUAUAUAUUAUAUACAUAGAACAGUGCUAUUUUAUUUUAUUCAAUAUUUUUUGUGUUAUAUAUGUAUAAUUCUAGAAUAUAUUUAGAGUAUAAAAAGAAAAAUAAAAUAAUUUAAUAAUUCUAUAAAUAUAUAUUUAUAAGUAAUAAUAUUACACUGGUAUAUAAAUAAUAUUAAUAUAUUUAAUAUCAACACUAUCGGUAUGUGUAUCCUUUUUAUAAUUUAUAUUAAAAUGUCACAUUUUCUUAUUAUAUGUAAAUAUAUGAAAAAAAAAAUAAAAAAUAAAAAACAAAAAAAAAAAAAAAAAUUAUAAUGUAAUAAAAUAUAUAUCUCUUUCAGUUUGUAUCUACAUAUAUUAAGCUGUCAUAGAAAUAGUAUAUAAAAAUACAUUCAUAAUUCAUUAAUACAUUAUAUUAAUUUUUUGAUGCAUAUUAUAAUAAGAUGAGAGAUAUGUAAAUAUUAAAAAUGCUUUUAUUUCAAAAGGGAAGAGAAAAUAUCCAUUUUAUGUAAUAUGUAUUUUCUAAACAUUUAUUUAUUUUUAUAUUUUAUUUAAAAUGUAUUUAUUAUAUGAAAGCAUAUAAUAUUAAUAACAUGAGCAUAAAUAAACUAUAAAUAGAUAAUAAAAUAAAUGUAUGUAUAUUUUCUUUUUCUAUGAAUGUAUCAUAUAAUGAUCGGGGUAAUAAAUUAUGAGACAAAAAAAUGUAUUAUCAUAUUUAUAUAUAUUUAAUAAAAAUAUUUUCUAUAUAUAAAAAGUAUUUAUCAAAAUAUCAUAUAUGUAUUUAUAUAUUUAUUUAUAUUUAUUCCUUUUCUUUUUUGCAAUAUUAUGUUGCUAUAUGUAUAAGGUAAUAAAAAAAAUAUACAUAUAUAUAUAUAUUUAUUUAUUCAAAAAAGACUAUGUUUUUCAGUAUAUAUAUAAAAAAACACAAAUUAUAAAAUUAUUUUAUGUAACAAGUGUGUAAAAAUGUAAAAAUAUAAAAAUAUUUCAUUCCACAUUUUUUUUUUAUUUUAUAUUUAAAAAGUAAAAAAAAGUGAAAUAAGACAAUAUCCAAUUUUAUACUUUAAAAUAGUUCUACACAUAUAUGUAUAAAAAAAAAUAUAUAUAUAAAAAUAAAAAUAGGCAAUAUCACGGUUCAAAAUAUAUUGAAAAAUAAUAAAAAAAAAUAAACAAUAUUAUAUUAUAUGAGAAAGAAUUAUGACGAGUACAAAAUUUUAUUUAUAAAAAAAUAAUAUUAUAAAUAUAUAUGUAUAUGUAUACACAUUCACUUAAAUAUUUAUUAAAUAUAUAAAAUGAUAAAGACAAUAUAAGAUACGUCACAUAUUUCUAUCUUGCACUAUAUAAAUAUGAAUUUAUAUAUUAAUAUGUAUAAAUAUAUAGAAGUAUAUAGUAAUACAUAUAUUAUUAUUGACAGAUAAAUAAAUAUAAAUGUAUAUAUGUAUAACUUUGCACAUAUAUAUAAAAACAAGACAUGGAAUUAUAAUUAUUUUAUAUAAAAAUAUAUUCUAUGUAGUUAUACAUUUGUAUAUAUGUAAAUUUUUCUAUACAUUUAUAUUAUACAUAUAUAUAUAUAAGUUCAUUUAAAUUACUCGAUUUUUUUUUUUUUUAAUCUUUAUAACUUGAAUAAAAUACUUCUAAAAUAUUUAUAUACCUUAAAAAAACCAAAUAAAUAAAAUAGGCAAGCACAAAAUAUUAUAUUUAUUUUAGUUAGGUUUUUUUUUUUUUUUUUUUUUUUUUUUGCGUAAAUUUCUUGUUAUAUAGUUAGAUAAAGCAAAUUCAUUUGUAUUCUUAUGUAUCAUAUAAAUAUUAAAUAAUGUAUAUUUCAAAAAAAAAAAAUUAAAAAAUUAAAUUAUAUAUUAUUUUUAAUUACAUAAAUUAAUUUACUUUUAUACUGAAUAAAAUAUAUGUGUACUAUUAUAUAAUAAAAGAAAAAAAAAAAAAAAAAAAAAAAAGUUUCUAGCAGUUGCAUUUUUAUUUUUUUUUUUGUUUUUUUAUAGCUGUUUUAUAUCAAUUUUUUUUUUUUUACAAUAAUAUAUAAUAACAUAUAAUAGAAGAAUAUAUAUAAGUUGUGAAUUAUAUUUUUUUUUUUUUUCACGUUUACAGAAAAAAAUAUAUAUAGAAAAAUGUGUUUAUUUUUUUUUACAAAUUUCAAAUUUCAUUUUUUUUUAUUUUCCUUUUUUUUUUUUUGAAUAUAAUAUAAAAUCAAUGUUAUAUUGAAAUAUACAAGUUCUUUUGAACAUUUAAAAAAUAAAAAUUCAUAUACAUAUUGAAAGAAAAAAAAAAUAUAUAUAUAUAUAUUUAUUUAUAUUUAUAUCUUUCUUGUUAUGUAAUUUUAAAAUAUUUAUUAUUCAUAUAUUUAUAUAUAUAAUUUUUUCAAGUCUUUAUGUGGUAAUAUCUUUUAAUUAUAACGAAUUAAUAUAUACACAUUUUUAUAAUGAAUGAUAGAAUAUAAUAGAAAGAAGAAAAAAUGUUACCUACUUAUUUUUGAAUAAGAAUGUGGUUAUAUAUAAUUAUGUUGGUUUUAUAUAAUCUAUUAAUGAUCUUUGAUAUAUUGAUAAAAGAUAAAAUAUAUUUAAAUAAAAUGUAAUAAUAAUAAUAUUAAUAUAUAUAUAUAUAUAUAAAUAAUUUUGACCUUAUAUAUUUUUUAUAUAUCUUAUGAAAAAAAAAUGUGUGUGAAUAAGAAAUACAUUAUUUUUUUUCUUUUUUUUCUUUUUUACAGUAUACACUUUAAUAUUAUAUUAUAUAUAUAAAUAUACAUAUAUACAUAUAUUUUUAUAAUAUGUAAAUUAAUACAAUUAUAUAUAUAUAUAUAUAUAUAUAUAUUAUUCAUGGGCAUAUUCUAAAUAAAGGUACACAAAAAUUAUUAAAGAAAAAAAUAUUAUUUUAGUUAAAAAUUAUUUAUUACAACUUACAUAAAAGAAAAAACAUUGCAUGCAUUGGUAUCUUUUACUUAUUAAAUAUUUUAUAUUUUCAUAGUAUUCUAAGGAUAUAUAUAUAUGAAAACA